ACAGAGGGUGCGAGCGUUAAUCGGAUUUACUGGGCGUAAAGGGCGCGUAGGCGGAUAGGUGAGUGUGAUGUGAAAGCCCUGGGCUUAACCUAGGAAGUGCAUCGCAAACGACCUAACUGGAGUAUAAGAGAGGGUAGUGGAAUUUCCGGUGUAGCGGUGAAAUGCGUAGAUAUCGGAAGGAACGUCAAUGGCGAAGGCAGCUACCUGGCUUAAUACUGACGCUGAGGCGCGAAAGCGUGGGGAUCAAACAGGAUUAGAUACCCUGGUAGUCCACGCUGUAAACGAUGAAGACUAGAUGUUGUUAGGGGAACCUAGCAGUAUCGAAGCUAACGCGAUAAGUCUUCCGCCUGGGAAGUACGGCCGCAAGGUUG
rnacentral:rRNA from 1 species